AAAGUCGUAACAAGGUUUCCGUAGGUGAACCUGCGGAAGGAUCAUUAUUGAAUAAGUUGAGAGGUUGUAGCUGGCUCUUCGGGGCAUAUGUGCACGCCUUUCAUACUCAUCUCAACCACCUGUGCACCCUUUGUAGACCUGGAAAUGGAUCUCUCAAGGCAACUUGGAUUUUGAGGGGUUUUUGCUGGCUUGCUUGAAGUAGGCCUCCCCUUGCUAUUUCCUGUGUCUAUGUUUUUAUUAUACACUCCUAAAAUGGUUAUAGAAUGUCUUUGAUGGGCCUGUCGUAAAAAAGCAGUCCUGUAAAAAAUAUAUAUAUACAACUUUCAACAACGGAUCUCUUGGCUCUC
rnacentral:misc_RNA from 1 species